rnacentral:rRNA from 1 species
AGAGUUUGAUCCUGGCUCAGAACGAACGCUGGCGGCAGGCUUAACACAUGCAAGUCGAACGUGAAGCAGGAGCUUGCUCCUGUGGAAAGUGGCAGACGGGUGAGUAACGCGUGGGAAUUUACCCAGUGGUUCGGAAUAACGCAGGGAAACUUGUGCUAAUACCGGAUACGCCCUUCGGGGGAAAGAUUUAUCGCCAUUGGAUGAGCCCGCGUCGGAUUAGCUUGUUGGUGAGGUAAAAGCUCACCAAGGCGACGAUCCGUAGCUGGUCUGAGAGGAUGAUCAGCCACACUGGGACUGAGACACGGCCCAGACUCCUACGGGAGGCAGCAGUGGGGAAUAUUGCGCAAUGGAGGAAACUCUGACGCAGCCAUGCCGCGUGAGUGAAGAAGGCCUUAGGGUUGUAAAACUCUUUCACCGGUGAAGAUAAUGACGGUAGCCGGAGAAGAAGCCCCGGCCAACUCCGUGCCAGCAGCCGCGGUAAUACGGAGGGGGCUAGCGUUGUUCGGAUUUACUGGGCGUAAAGCGCGCGUAGGCGGGCUGGUUAGUUGGGGGUGAAAUCC